rnacentral:rRNA from 1 species
AGAGCGAACGCUGGCGGCAGGCCUAACACAUGCAAGUCGAGCGCCCGUAGCAAUACGGGAGCGGCAGACGGGAUAGUAACACGUGGGAACGCGCCCUUCGGUUCGGAAUAACUCAGGGAAACUUGAGCUAAUACCGGAUACGCCCUUACGGGGAAAGAUUUAUUGCCGAAGGAACGGCCCGCGUCCGAUUAGCUAGUUGGUGAGGUAAUGGCUCACCAAGGCGACGAUCGGUAGCUGGUCUGAGAGGAUGACCAGCAUCACUGGGACUGAGACACGGCCCAGACUCCUACGGGAGGCAGCAGUGGGGAAUAUUGGACAAUGGGCGCAAGCCUGAUCCAGCCAUGCCGCGUGGAUGAUGAAGGCCUUAGGGUUGUAAAGCCCUUUUAACGGGAAGAUAAUGACGGUACCGUAGAAUAAGCCCCGGCUAACUUCGUGCCAGCAGCCGC